UACGUAGGGCGCAAGCGUUAUCCGGAAUUAUUGGGCGUAAAGAGCUCGUAGGCGGUUUGUCGCGUCUGCCGUGAAAGUCCGGGGCUCAACUCCGGAUCUGCGGUGGGUACGGGCAGACUAGAGUGAUGUAGGGGAGACUGGAAUUCCUGGUGUAGCGGUGAAAUGCGCAGAUAUCAGGAGGAACACCGGUGGCGAAGGCGGGUCUCUGGGCCGAUACUGACGCUGAGGAGCGAAAGCGCGGGGAGCGAACAGG
rnacentral:rRNA from 1 species